AUUGAACGUUGGCGGCAUGCCUUACACAUGCAAGUCGAACGGUAACGGGCCUUCGGGUGCCGACGAGUGGCGAACGGGUGAGUAAUACAUCGGAACGUGCCCGAUCGUGGGGGAUAACGAGGCGAAAGCUUUGCUAAUACCGCAUACGAUCUACGGAUGAAAGCAGGGGACCGCAAGGCCUUGCGCGGACGGAGCGGCCGAUGGCAGAUUAGGUAGUUGGUGGGAUAAAAGCUUACCAAGCCGACGAUCUGUAGCUGGUCUGAGAGGAUGAUCAGCCACACUGGGACUGAGACACGGCCCAGACUCCUACGGGAGGCAGCAGUGGGGAAUUUUGGACAAUGGGCGCAAGCCUGAUCCAGCCAUGCCGCGUGCAGGAUGAAGGCCUUCGGGUUGUAAACUGCUUUUGUACGGAACGAAAAGCCUUCUUUUAAUACAGGAGGGUCAUGACGGUACCGUAAGAAUAAGCACCGGCUAACUACGUG
rnacentral:rRNA from 1 species